UUCAGAAAGACGGUUGAUGUCCUGUUUCUUUUUUUCUUUUUAUAAACCAAAGAAACAACGAACUGGCUGCCCUAAUGAUGUUUGAUUUUCUUAUUUAUAUCCUUUGUAGCCAAGGGCUAGGAGAUAGUGUUAUAAUCCUUUGCAUAGUUAGGAGCAAGCAGGGAGUAAAAUCGUCAUGUCAAAGGGUCAAUAUAACUUGACGCAGUACUAAUUCCAAGAGCCAGGGUCCUAGCAGUAAUCACACAUGUAAGGGUAGUUUGAAGGAAUCAUUAGAAUAGGCUAGCAUGAUUUAGCAGAUGUAAGGGUAGUUUGAAGGAAUCAUUAAAAUUCCUCUCACUUCCCACCUUGUUCUGUCAGAUGUAACGACUACUGCGACAACGUUGAGGAUUUCAUAGUCAUCGUGAUGAACAUUUUUUUCCCAGUGUUGGAAUGGAUAUUGGAUUGGUCAAGCGUCUUUUACGUUAUCCUAAAAUAUCUCUACAGAUACAUAUGGAUUCUGUAAUUUACCUAUAUAUCAAGCAUAUUCCUUCAUUUCCAUUGUUUAUGGUGUGGCAGUGCUAAUGUUGUUUCUUUUCGCCAUGCAAUAGAUACAGUUAACUGAACAUUUAUUUUGAUGCCAACCAUUGUGAAAUAGGCUCCUCCAACUACAGAAGUACAUGAUGGGUUCAAUUCAGAUCUAUUGAAAGGCAAUCUUGUCCUAGGCUGAACCUGUCCAACUAACCUGAAUCUGUUCAAAAUGUUCAGACUACUUAAAUGUUCAUAACAUGGACACCGGGGAUCAUGUGGCUGUCAAGGUCCUCGACAAGGCAAAGGUUCACAAGAAAAAACUAGCUGGUCAGGAGGGAGAUCUCUGUAUGAUGAAGCUAAUACAACAUCACGAUGUUGUUUGCCUACACGAGGUGAUGGGAAGUAAAACAAGGAUUUACAUGGUGCUGGAUUUUGUGAUGGGUGGAGAGCUCCAUGAUAUCAUUCUGUGCAGGGCUUGGAGCUAAAGUUUGGGUGCCGAAGGCAAAGAGGCAGGGACUGUGUGCAGAAAUAAGAAAUAAUGAUUAGAUCAGUCUAGACUAUACAUGUAUCCCAUUUUCUGAACCUGGAACACUAUGAAGAUGCAAGGGCUUGCUGCAUAUGGAUAUUUGUUUUGCUUAUUGGUUUAUUUAGGAUCUAGAUCACCGAUGACUAUGAGUCAUAUGUAAUUAUAUUUUUAUCCUACCAAAAGUGUCUCGAACAUAUAUUAUAUAUGAAACUAUGGAUUAACUUCUUGUAAUGCAACUAUUGAUUUUUAAUAUAUAUAUUAUUUUUUCUUA